GAUGAACGCUGGCGGCGUGCUUAACACAUGCAAGUCGAACGAUGAUCCGGUGCUUGCACCGGGGAUUAGUGGCGAACGGGUGAGUAACACGUGAGUAACCUGCCCUUAACUCUGGGAUAAGCCUGGGAAACUGGGUCUAAUACCGGAUAUGACUCCUCAUCGCAUGGUGGGGGGUGGAAAGCUUUAUUGUGGUUUUGGAUGGACUCGCGGCCUAUCAGCUUGUCGGUGAGGUAAUGGCUCACCAAGGCGACGACGGGUAGCCGGCCUGAGAGGGUGACCGGCCACACUGGGACUGAGACACGGCCCAGACUCCUACGGGAGGCAGCAGUGGGGAAUAUUGCACAAUGGGCGCAAGCCUGAUGCAGCGACGCCGCGUGAGGGAUGACGGCCUUCGGGUUGUAAACCUCUUUCAGUAGGGAAGAAGCGAAAGUGACGGUACCUGCAGAAGAAGCGCCGGCUAACUACGUGCCAGCAGCCGCGGUAAUACGUAGGGCGCAAGCGUUAUCCGGAAUUAUUGGGCGUAAAGAGCUCGUAGGCGGUUUGUCGCGUCUGCCGUGAAAGUCCGGGGCUCAACUCCGGAUCUGCGGUGGGUACGGGCAGACUAGAGUGAUGUAGGGGAGACUGGAAUUCCUGGUGUAGCGGUGAAAUGCGCAGAUAUCAGGAGGAACACCGAUGGCGAAGGCAGGUCUCUGGGCAUUAACUGACGCUGAGGAGCGAAAGCAUGGGGAGCGAACAGGAUUAGAUACCCUGGUAGUCCAUGCCGUAAACGUUGGGCACUAGGUGUGGGGGACAUUCCACGUUUUCCGCGCCGUAGCUAACGCAUUAAGUGCCCCGCCUGGGGAGUACGGCCGCAAGGCUA
rnacentral:rRNA from 1 species